AAGAGGACGAAACUCUCGAUAAACUAAAAUUUGGUAGCUAAAGACUACAAACAAGAAAAGGAAUAUACUACCAGGAGAGAAAAGGUAAAUUGAUCUGAGAAAUGUUGUUCUCCAUGAAGACAACAAAAUCUGUACAUAAAACAACAUUCAUACUUUUUAGACAGCUCAAGACCAAAUCAUGUAUGUCAUUUAUACAAGUCACUCUAUGUUUACAACAAUCUUCUCAGGCAUAAUUUAACAAGUCCAACAAUUUUAUGCCGAAGUUUGGAGUUUUUUGCAAUAUAAAAGAUCCUUCACUGAUUAGCUAC
rnacentral:lncRNA from 1 species